rnacentral:rRNA from 1 species
AUUGAACGCUGGCGGCAGGCUUAACACAUGCAAGUCGAGCGAGCGGCGGACGGGUGAGUAAUGUCUGGGAAACUGCCUGAUGGAGGGGGAUAACUACUGGAAACGGUAGCUAAUACCGCAUACCAUCAGAUGUGCCCAGAUGGGAUUAGCUAGUAGGUGGGGUAAUGGCUCACCUAGGCGACGAUCCCUAUCUGGUCUGAGAGGAUGACAAGCCACACUGGAACGGAGAGACGGUCCCGAAGCGUACGGGAGGCAGCAUGGGUGAAUAUUGCACAAUGGGCGCAAGACUGAUGCAGCCAUGCCGCGUGUGUGAAGAAGGCCUUCGGGUUGUACAGCACUUUCAGCGGGGAGGCGUUACUCGCAGAGUAAGCACCGGCUAACUCCGUGCCAGCAGCCGCGGUAAUUC